UACGUGAGGGGCGAACGUUGUUCGGUGUCACUGGGCUUAAAGGGUGCGUAGGUGGUUACGUAAGUAACGUGUGAAAUCCCUCGGCUUACCCGGGGAAUUGCGCGUUAUACUGCGUGACUUGAGGAUUUCAGGGGAAUGGGGAACUCCAGGUGUAGCGGUGAAAUGCGCAGAUAUCUGGGGGAAGGCCGGCGGCGAAGGCGCCAUUCUGGGAAAUUCCUGACACUGAGGCACGAAAGCGUGGGGAGCAAACAGG
rnacentral:rRNA from 1 species